GAGAGCGAGAGCGAGAGAGAGAGAGAGAGAGAGAGAGAGAGAGAGUCAGAGUUAGGGUUUUCAGCGACUCCGAGAUGCCAGAAAGCUGCCCCGAUAGCCAGUACGGGACGCCGAACAGAGACGUCUUGUGUAUCUGGACGUUGUCUCUCAACAUGUAGCAGCCUAGGAAAGCGCCGACAGUAGCAAACCCAUAGCCAACUCGUCUGAGUACCUACAACAAGCAAAUCAAGAUGACUGGUCAUUCAUGAUUUAACGCUGCAAAAACGAACUUGUUAUAAUUUUAAUACGAUAAUUUUGUCAUGUACCAGUUACCAUUGUGUAGAGAGGGAUCUACGUGUUGGGGAACAGGUGACACUUACCAUUGUGUAGAGAGGGAUCCACGUGUUGGGAAACAGGUGACACUUACCAUUGUGUAGAGAGGGAUCCACGUGUUGGGGAACAGGUGACACUUACCAUUGUGUAGAGAGGGAUCCACGUGUUGGGGAACAGGUGACACUUACCAUUGUGUAGAGAGGGAUCUACGUGUUGGGGAACAGGUGACACUUACCAUUGUGUAGAGAGGGAUCCACGUGUUGGGGAACAGGUGACACUUACCAUUGUGUAGAGAGGGAUCCACGUGUUGGGAAACAGGUGACACU